GCCCAUGUGGCUCAGUGGCUAGAGCGUCGGCCUGCGGACUGAAGGGUCCCGGGUUCGAUUCCUGGCUCGGUCC
rnacentral:tRNA from 1 species